rnacentral:rRNA from 1 species
UGCAAUUGGAAUGAGUACAAUUUAAAUCCCUUAACGAGGAUCAAUUGGAGGGCAAGUCUGGUGCCAGCAGCCGCGGUAAUUCCAGCUCCAAUAGCGUAUAUUAAAGUUGUUGCAGUUAAAACGUCCGUAGUCAAACUUUAGUCUUACCGGCGUAGUGGCCUGGUCUUCAUUGACCAAGCUCAUUGCUGCCGGAGACUCCAUGUCCAUUGACUCCUAGUCCUCGUGGCUAGGGUUUUCUGGACAAUUACCAUGAGCAAAUCAGAGUGUUUAAAGCAGGCUUUUAAGCUUGAAUGUGUUAGCAUGGAAUAAUGAAAUAUGACUUUAGUCCUAUUUUCGUUGGUUUAGGUACUUCAGUAAUGAUGAAUAGAAACGGUUAGGGGCAUUUGUAUUUGGUCGCUAGAGGUGAAAUUCUUGGAUUGACCGAAGACAAACUACUGCGAAAGCAUUUGACCCGGGACGUUUUCAUUGAUCAAGGUCUAAAGUUAAGGGAUCGAAGACGAUUAGAUACCGUCGUAGUCUUAACCACAAACUAUGCCGACUAGAGAUUGGGCGUGUUUAUUAUGACUCGCUCAGCAUCUUAGCGAAAGU